rnacentral:rRNA from 1 species
AUCGAACGCUGGCGGCAGGCCUAACACAUGCAAGUCGAACGAGUGGCGGACGGGUGAGUAAUGUCUUGGAAACUGCCUGACGGAGGGGGAUAACUACUGGAAACGUUAGCUAAUACUGCAUACCACCAUAUGUGCCCAGACUGGAUUAGCUAGCUGGUGGGGUAACGGCUCACCAAGGCGACGAUCCCUAGCUGGUCUGAGAGGAUGACCAGCCACACUGGAACUGAGACACGGUCCAGACUCCUACGGGAGGCAGCAGUGGGGAAUAUUGCACAAUGGGCGAAAGCCUGAUGCAGCCAUGCCGCGUGAAUGAAGAAGGCCUUCGGGUUGUAAAGUACUGUCAGCGGGGAGGCGUUACCCGAAGAGGAAGCACCGGCUAACUCCGUGCCAGCAGCCGCGGUAAUAC